CUGAUCACCGAAGUCAAGCAUCAUUGGGCACGGUCAGUACUUGGGUGGGUGACCACCUGGGAACACCGCGUGCCGUU